UACGUAGGGGGCAAGCGUUGUCCGGAUUUAUUGGGCGUAAAGAGCGUGUAGGCGGCUAGAUAGGUCCGUUGUGAAAACUCGAGGCUCAACCUCGAGACGCCGAUGGAAACCAUCUAGCUAGAGUCCGGAAGAGGAGAAUGGAAUUCCUGGUGUAGCGGUGAAAUGCGCAGAUAUCAGGAGGAACACCGAUGGCGAAGGCAGAUCUCUGGGCCGUAACUGACGC
rnacentral:rRNA from 1 species